CACGUAGGGCGCGAGCGUUGUCCGGAAUUAUUGGGCGUAAAGAGCGUGUAGGCGGUCCGGUAAGUCAGCUGUGAAAGUCAAGGGCUCAACCCUUGAAAGCCGGUUGAUACUGUCGGGCUAGAGUCCGGAAGAGGCGAGUGGAAUUCCCGGUGUAGCGGUGAAAUGCGCAGAUAUCGGGAGGAACACCAAUGGCGAAGGCAGCUCGCUGGGACGGUACUGACGCUGAGACGCGAAAGCGUGGGGAGCAAACAGG
rnacentral:rRNA from 1 species